UGGGGAAUAUUGCACAAUGGGCGAAAGCCUGAUGCAGCGACGCCGCGUGAGGGAUGACGGCCUUCGGGUUGUAAACCUCUUUCAGCAGGGACGAAGCGCAAGUGACGGUACCUGCAGAAGAAGCACCGGCUAACUACGUGCCAGCAGCCGCGGUAAUACGUAGGGGGCAAGCUGUGUCCGGAAUUACUGGGCGUAAAGAGUGCGUAGGCGGUUUGUCGCGUCGUUUGUGAAAACCAGCAGCUCAACUGCUGGCUUGAAGGCGAUACGGGCAGACUUGAGUACUGCAGGGGAGACAGGAAUUCCUGGUGUAGCGGUGAAAUGCGAAGAUAUCAGGAGGAAAACCGGUGGCGAAGGCGGGUCUCUGGGCAGUAACUGACGCGGAGGAACGAAAGCGUGGGUAGCGAACAGG
rnacentral:rRNA from 1 species